GGCACGGGAUGGGUUAGGGGUUGCAGAGCUCCUGGAAGAGGUGCUGCCGAAAGAGAGGUCACACGAAUGUGUGUGUGUUUGUGCGCGAGAGAGAGAUUGGGGGGGGGGCGCUGGAGGCAUCAACGCGUGAAGCUUCUGUGAGUCCGAGGAGGAGUCCAGUUGCCUCACGAGGUCUGGGUUCGGGGUGGGGGAAAGGUCGUGGCUCCAUCAGGCUCUGGGAAAAGCAGGUUAUCCCCUCACCCCAGCUUGGAGAAGGAGGGGCAGCAGGCCUGUGGCAAGGGAAGGUCAGUCCACAGCGUCCCUUAACUCCGAGCGUGUUUCACCCAUCCCAGAUGUUGCACCCGGAGCUGACAAGAGUAGCUUCUGCUUAGACCAAGAAUAUUCUUGGAUGCUCUUAAAAUCUAUUUUUGAAGGCCGCAAAUGCUCCCCCAAAGUCCUCUGAGAGUGACCUCUUGGUGCACGCACAGCUGUUCCUGUUGGUUGAGUGAUUUGUGUUUUUAGGUGUUGCAUUGUUAUGGAUUUGGAAGGUUAGGGAGCUGGCGGGGUGGAAUUAACCUGGUGGCUCCUGGCUGUGGCAAUUUCACCCCCUUUGGCCACCAGCUCUCACUUUACUUCUAUGCAGAUACUGUAAUGGUAGGAGGUGAAACAAAUAAUAUCUACAUACUGUAGUUUUCUUGGGGAUUUCUCCCAUUGCUCGAAUUAACCCCAAAAGUUUUAACAUACUGUAUUUUUAGUUUUGAAGUUCAGUCUUUUGUUGUAAAGAUUCUCAGUUUUACGGGUAAGCUUCUAAAAGAUCAGUAUUUUCAACUCUCAUUUGAAACUAUUGCUGUCUUAACUCCUAAUUAUAAUUUUGCAUCCCGGUUUCAGCAAACAUUCCUAACUUCAGUUGUUGCUUGUUCCAUUCUCUCCCAUGAAGCCAGUAUGAGGACUUUUGAGUAAUGGUUGGGACAUUUUAGACUAGACAGUGGAGAAAGGCAUGAUUCUUCUGAAGUAUCAAUGGAAAGAUAAAUACUCUCAGCUUUAUGUUAAAAUGGUUGAAGCCAAUAAGGAAUAGUUGAAAUGAGAUCUUCAGUUGAAAGAGAGUUUAAGACUUCCAAGUCAAUGUAUGGUAAUAAUAAAGUUAUCCAUAUUGAGUGGAGUGUUUGUGAAUAUGCUAGAGCAGUUAGAACAGAGGUAGGCAACCUAAGGCCCAUGGGCCAGAUGCGGCCCAAUCGCCUUCUCAAUCUGGCACGCGGAUGGUCAUGUAAAAAUCAGCUUGUUUUUACAUGAGUAGAAUGUGUCCUUUUAUUUAAAUGCAUCUCUGGGUUAUUUGUGGGGCAUAGGAACACGUUUAUCCCCCCCCCCAAAAAAAAAUAUAGUCUGGCCCACCACAUGGUCUGAGGCACAGUCCACGGCUGAAAAAGGUUGCUGACCCCUGAGUUAGAACUUGGACCAAUCAUGUUUAAGGCAGUUAGAGGCAACUGGGAUAAAGAAAUGCUCUGUGUUGCAUGUGAAGUCUGCAGAAGUGUUUUCUGAGAGUCUGUUGCUUAGGAAGCUGAUGUAGUCUAAAACAUCUGGAAGGAAUCAAGUUGAGGAAUGCUGACUUAAACAAUGGUUAUGGAUUGGCUGCAACAAGUGUGUGAAACUAUGGUUUGAAUAGCUCUGCAAAUCUUGGGAUUGCGCUAACCAAGGUUAAGUUUUCAUCUGCAGUGAGCAAACUGGUAAAAGCAGGUUCUUUGUGCCUUUGCUUGCAGGGUAAGAAGCUGGGCUUCUUGGCACCUAUACCUGCUCUCCAGAGACUGGGUUUAGCCCAACCAGCUAAACUAUAGCAUCAUUGUAUGACUGAGUUCUCAAUCAGAGUGAAGUCAACAAACCCCAGCAGAAACUAACCAUAGCUAAGUGUUAUGUCUGUCAUAGGUAAUUGGAAAAACAGUGUAUGCUAGUUGGUAAUGUGGCUCAUAACAGGAGUUGAGUACAGUAAUAUUCCUGUUUUUGUAAACAAGGAGAUCAUACCCAGAGUAGAAGCAUUUAAAAAUGGUCAUAACAGUAUUACUUAUUUUGAUGCAACCCCCGGUAGGGAUGAUGGGUGUAGUUUUAACCACUGUUUACAUGCAGCUGACUCAAGAAAUGUUCCAGUUCUUUGUUUCUGGCUGAAAUAAUUGUUAACCCCCUUGUAUUAUGGCUUCUACCCUUCUCUCCAUUGAGAAGUUGGAAAUGUACAUGUCUGUUUUCUGCCCAUCUUUUUUCAGUGUCCCCUUCUGAGUAACAUCUGUGUGACUUUGGCUGCCAGGAAUGUGUUUUGGACGCAGAACAGAUCUAGUGUUCAUCAAAUAACCACAGAAUUCGUGCAGCUUUCAUGAUAUUCAGGCAGUGAGAGUGCCGUCGCAUAUAUAGCCAGAGCGGUACCAUCCACAAGGCAGAGGGAGGUGUCAGCAGGCUCAGAGGAACCUUGAGGGUCACCUUGUCUGCCACGGACUGUUACAUUGUUCACGAAAUCUACAACGGCGAGAAUGCUCAGGACCAGUUUGAAUACGAGCUGGAACAGGCCUUGGAGGCUCAGUACAAAUACAUUGUGAUUGAGCCCACACGCAU